UACGUAGGGGGCAAGCGUUGUCCGGAAUCAUUGGGCGUAAAGAGCGUGUAGGCGGCUCGAUAAGUCCGCUGUGAAAGUCAAGGGCUCAACCCUUGAAUGCCGGUGGAUACUGCAGGGCUAGAGUCCGGAAGAGGCGAGUGGAAUUCCUGGUGUAGCGGUGAAAUGCGCAGAUAUCAGGAGGAACACCGAUGGCGAAGGCAGCUCGCUGGGACGGUACUGACGCUGAGGCGCGAAAGCCAGGGGAGCGAACGGG
rnacentral:rRNA from 1 species